rnacentral:snoRNA from 1 species
UUUGGUGAUGAAAUAUGCACUGGGCUCUGAGCAGAUUUUCUUUCUGCUAAUUGAUGGAAAUGCUGCCUAGAAAGCUCUAUCUGAUCU